rnacentral:pre_miRNA from 1 species
GAUUUCAACUAAAAAAGUCAUCAACAACAAAGUUGUAUAACUCACCAAGAUCUAUAACUUUUAUGUUUGUCAUUUCUUCAUCUGAUAAAGUAUUAGUAAUAUUGUUCAUAAAAUUUACAUAUCUGUGUUAUAGUUUAUAAACCAGAUGAGAGAUAUGUGAAUUUUAUGAACAAUGUUAUUAUCACUUUGUCAGAUGAAGAAAUGACCAAAAUAAAAGUUAUAGAUCUUGAUGAGUUAUACAACUUUGUUGUUGGUGACUUUUUCAGUUGAAAUC